rnacentral:lncRNA from 1 species
AAUUAUUCAAAUAUUGGCAAGAUAUUUAAAAGUAUUAAACACAAUAAUGAACACUCAGCCAUGAAAUAAUAAACUAAAAAUAACAUAGAUUUAUGGAAUUAAAUCUUCAUAAUUAGGCUACAUCGUAGCCCUAGCAAAAUAAAUUAGUUCAUGGGAAUAUAAAGAGAAUCUAUCAAUUUAAUUGGGAACAUUCAAGCAAGACCAUUGAGAAGAGGAAAAGAAAAACUCAAGAAUUAAACUCAGCUCUUGCUCUAGAUCUCUUGCGGCUGCUGCUUCUUUUCUCUUCUUUCUUGCUCUCGGUUUUCUUUCUCUUGGCUUGUCAAUUUGUGCGGCUGCUAUUGUCUUCUUAAUUCCCCUAAUGUUACCGCAAGUCUAUGCUUUUAUAGUAGCUUUAAUUCUGCACCCUAAAAUCUUCACAUGGAAAGGAUUAAAAACAAAAGCCAAGCCGCCACUCAUGCACGUGAAGCCAACGUGAAUCAAAGGCCAAUCCUUAUGUCAUUAUGCACGUGACUUGUACAAAUAGCCAAUAAAUCUAUAAAAUUAUUUGGCAAUAAAUCUAAUAAUUUCUCCGUUAAUCAUUAUUCUUUCCUCUCACAAUCUGUAAUUAUCUCCAUUAAACUCCAAUUUGUUUCCUCUUUUCGCUUCCUUUCACUUAAAUAUUCCCAAUAUUUCUACAAUGACAAAAUAUAAAAAUUAAGAUGAAAAUUAAUAUAAUAAAAUAUAAUUUAACAUAAAAUUAAGUUAUGAAAAUAUAAAAAUAAUAAAUAAAUUACUAGCACAUCAUAGAGCCUUCUCAUAUAGGCAUCGUGAAGAUGAAUUUUAUAUCCCGUGAACAUACCCCUAAAAUAUUUGUAGGAAUCUCACCCUUUCUUAUUUGAUAUCUUGACUUAUCAUUUUCUGACACACAGACUUUAAUAUAAGUUUCAUCCAUUACCCUUAAGUAAUUCUAUAUAUAUAAAACAAAUGAAAAAUUUAUUAGCAUUAAACUAUCACUAGCUAUAAUCAAAUAAAAGCAAAUUAAUAUUAUACGUUAAACCACUUCUAUCUCUCACCAGUAUAAUUCUUUGUUAUAGGUACUGGCGCCCUUAGUAAAACAUGGUGUAGUCAUAACACUCCUUUUGACACUGAGUUAAAGUAUCUACUAAUAAUCUUGCCAGAUCUAAAAACCUACUUCCAAUCAUGCAAUCUUUCGACAUGAUGAGACAAAGAGUGAAGGAACAUGCAAACUUGCUCUUCAGUCUUUACUAAACCAUUAGCCUUUAUCCCCAUUCAAUUGAAAUAGCUCACACAACAUACUAAAUGUCUUUCUAUCCAUUCUUAGUUUAUUCACACAUUAUAUGUCACUAUUGCUUAUAAUGCUAUUUAAGUAUUGCAAUCGAGUGCCAUGAUUUUGGAAUGUAUGAUUAAGAAUCAUUUUUCUUUAAUUAUGCCUUUGGAUCAACAUUAUUAACAAAAAAAAAAAAAUUCACAAUGAACAUGAACCUCAAUUUUAUUUGCCACGUGACAAAAUAAAAUUUUCUUCUCAUAUCCAUAUCUAAAUAAGAAGAAAAAUGUAAAAAAAAAAAAGAAAAAAAGGUCAGCUUGUUUUUUUCACUAAUAUUUUGUUGCAUUGUUAGAUUUUAUGAGUAUUGAGAACAAAAUAAUCAAUAUUAAAAAAACUACUAGAGAAAUAUAAAGCAAAAAAAAAAAAGAAAUAUAAACAAAGCAGGAAGAGGAGAACCAAAAAAGAAAAAAAGUAUCAGUAAUGAGAUGACCUAAGCAGCUAAGGUUUGAAGAAACGUCCAAUGGCUCCUCCAAGCUCAUCUUUAGUCACAAGUGUAGAAGUUCCUUGAAAACAACAAUAAUAGUUACUCAAGCAUGUUAAAAGUUUUCAAAAGUAUUUACAAUUUAACAUGAGCUGAGAUUAAGAAUUCUACCACAUUUUUUUUUUAAAAGGAUGUCUUAAUGUCAUCAACACAAUAAUAUGACAGCCAAAUAUGCUCUCUGUUUAGCCACUUGGCCCAAUGCCUUCAAGUCUAUUUUAUUCAAAAACAAAAUAAUGAAGAAUUAAACGGCUUGCAAUCUUGUUCUUUUACUCUUGUUCUUGUUCUAUAUCUAUCAUUAUAUUAUUUUAUAAUUAUAAACAAGUUCAACAAAAUCAUAUAUCAAUCUUGAUGCAUAGUUUAACCAAACAAAAAAAAAAAAAACUAGAAGUUAGUGGAGUUAAUCUUGGCUCGCUUCAACAUCAACGCAAAGUGAAAACCAAAUAAAGGAGUAUGUAUAGUUGUGAACGAGAAAAUUUAGUUAGGCCAGGAUGGUGUUCACAUUGUUGUUUUCAAGUGGUUUUUCUUUAUCUAUCACUUGAAUAAUAUUUUGUUUUCAUGCAAUGAUGCAAAGAUUUUAUGUGAAUAGUGAGUCUAUGCAUAACCAAACCUGUUAUGCGAGUAUAUUCAAACAAAUUCUGCUCAAAACCUAACUCGAUUGAUUUAGAAUUUUUUUAACCAAAUAUGAACUGAACUAUAUAUGGAACUGAAUUGUUUUAAUUCGAUUCAGUUCGAUUUUAUAUGAUUUGGUUUAAGAACUUCAAUAUUUUUUUUCUUAGCCAAAAUGUUAGACUUUUCACCUAAAUUUGAUCAUUUUAUUAGUGUAAUUCAAUUGUAAUCACUUUCCAUUUUAUGUUUUCUAUAUCUUGUUUAAGCGUUGACCAAAUUAUAGAAAUAGUAUCAUGCGUUUGAUACAAAUCAUUUACAUCACAUACACAACAAAAUCAAAAUUCAUGAAGAAAUGAUGGCCAUAGAAAAAAAGGAUUCCAAAACAAAACCAAUAAAUAAGGCAUGCAAAACAAUAGAUGCUACAACUAAUAUAAAUCACCUACAUGACUUGGAGGGAUAUGCUUCCACUUGGCAAAUCUCUCAGGGAUGACCCUUCCUACAACACGCAAAUCAUGGCAAUGACUGAAAGCACAAGUAUAUGCAUAAAAGACAAACAGUUAUUAGUUUAGUACUUUUACUAACUCAAAUACAAUAGACGAAAAUUUGAUUUUAUUACUAAUUAGUAUCCCACGAGAAAUCCAAAACAACUAACACAAAGCAUUUUGAACUAGUUUAUGAACAAUGAUAUCGAUAUCCUAUCUCUAAGAUCCUAUCAAUCUUUUUUCCCCCCCUAAAACUUACUUAGAUAUUUUGCCAAUCAAUUUAUCCCACUCAACCAACCAUUUUACAGUAGCUGGCCAUUUUGAAUGGGGUCUCUAGUAAACUACACUACCUGAAUAAUUUAUUUUGAUUAAGAGUUUUGAUGUAUGAAAUGUGAUUAUUGUAUCUUAAUUGCUUUCUUUAUUGUCUUUAACUCUUUGCUUCCAGGGCUUAAAUACUUCCCGAGAAUCUUAAACUUCACAAUCAAAGUGAUAUCAUAUGCUUAGUUCCAAUAAUCUAGUAGCUAUAUAUAGUUCCUUUCUUUAACUAAAUUUGCACCCUUCUCUCAUCCUCAAUCAAAGAAAAAAAUUUGAACUUUUUCUGAGAAACUCGUGAAAAAAAUAGAACAAGUAGCUUUGUUAAAAAAAAAUCUAUUAAAAUAAAUAACAAAUUAUUGGAAUUUAGGAUGAAAAACUUGCCAUGAUAAAUGCAUAAAAGGAUAGAAUCAAACCAGAUCGCGUGGUAGUGUUGCACGGUAGGGUGGCAUUAGUGUCGCAUGGUGGUGUUGCGCACCAAAAGUAGAUUGCAUCGUGGUGGAGCUGCUAUCGCGCGAUGAAGGCAAAUCAUGUUGUGGUGGAGUUGCUAUCGCGCGGUGAAGUAAAAUUGCAUAGUGGUGGAGCUACUGCCGUGCGACGAAGGCAGAUCGCGUCGUGGUGGAGCUACUAUAAUGGGGCAUAGCAGUGUGGAGUUGGUAUCGUUUAUUAAAGCACAUAUAUAGUGUUUAGUUUCUAGAGUAGGG